rnacentral:rRNA from 1 species
AUACGUAGGGGGCGAGCGUUGUCCGGAAUUACUGGGUGUAAAGGGCGUGUAGGCGGGGAUGCAAGUUAUCGGUUAAAACCCAAGGCUCAACCUUGGGCUUGCCGGUAAAACUGUAUCUCUUGAGUAUAGGAGAGGGAAGUGGAAUUCCCGGAGUAGCGGUGAAAUGCGUAGAUACCGGGAGGAACACCAGUGGCGAAGGCGGCUUCCUGGCCUAUUACUGACGCUGAGGCGCGAAAGCUAGGGUAGCGAACGGGAUUAGAUACCCCGGUAGUCCUAGCCGUAAACGAUGGUUACUAGGUGUGGGUGGUGGUCAAGCCAUCCGUGCCGGAGCUAACGCAAUAAGUAACCCACCUGGGGAGUACGGCCGCAAGGUUGAA